UAUGUCACGAUGAUAGAGAAGAGUAACUAUAUAGACUUUAAAGAGAGGUUAUGGGUGGUGUGAAUAACUAAGUUUUUAUUGUGAAUGGAGCUCAAGAGUGUAAAAUGUAGAGCAGGGCUGUUGCCAAAAAGGGUGGAACCGCGGAAGUUUUCUUUCGUCCCUUAU
rnacentral:misc_RNA from 1 species